UGGGGAAUAUUGGACAAUGGAGGAAACUCUGAUCCAGCAAUUCUGUGUGUGUGAAGAAGGUUUUAGGACUGUAAAACACUUUUAGUAGGGAAGAAAAAAAUGACGGUACCUACAGAAGAAGCAACGGCUAAAUACGUGCCAGCAGCCGCGGUAAUACGUAUGUUGCGAGCGUUAUCCGGAAUUAUUGGGCUUAAAGGGCAUCUAGGCGGUAAGACAAGUUGAAGGUGAAAACCUGUGGCUCAACCAUAGGCUUGCCUACAAAACUGUUGAACUAGAGUACUGGAAAGGUGGGUGGAACUACACGAGUAGAGGUGAAAUUCGUAGAUAUGUGUAGGAAUGCCGAUGAUGAAGAUAACUCACCGGACAGAAACUGACGCUGAAGUGCGAAAGCUAGGGGAGCAAACAGG
rnacentral:rRNA from 1 species